GACGAACCGUACGAACGUUAUUCGGAAUUACUGGGCUUAAAGGGUUUGUAGGCGGCCUUGUAAGUCAGGUGUGAAAUCCCUCGGCUCAACCGAGGAAUGGCGCUUGAUACUGCAAGGCUUGAGGGAGACAGGGGUAAGCGGAACUGAUGGUGGAGCGGUGAAAUGCGUUGAUAUCAUCAGGAACACCGGUGGCGAAAGCGGCUUACUGGGUCUCUUCUGACGGUGAGGAACGAAAGCUAGGGUAGCGAACGGG
rnacentral:rRNA from 1 species